rnacentral:lncRNA from 1 species
UCUUAAGCACGUCUAAAGAGUCGUUGAGUUCCUUUGAUCAUCCACCAGUAAUCUUUUGCCUGAUUUGGGUGUAGUCCUAUGAAGGAUCAACUUCAAAUUCAUUCCUAUCUUGAAGGAACAAUUCUGCAGGCAGAGCUGUUAUCUUGUCUUGUAGCGAGGACACACUCAGGGUCGUGGAGAUAGUGGUUGUACACUUGUACUUUGUCAACUCUUCAAUGAGGGACAAGCACCCAGUGCUUUUCAAAUGAACGUUGGCACUUCCCUUUUGAUCAUUCGCUCUCUUAGACGAGGUUAACUUCAAGAGACAACUCUUUUGAGAUUUCAGAUUGAAUCUUCUGAUCAACUGUAGCUUCUGGUGAUGAUAUAGCUUAUGAUGAA